ensembl:snRNA U6 U6 spliceosomal RNA
GUGCUCGCUUCGGCAGCACAUAUACUAAAGUUGGAACGAUACAGAGAAGGUUAGCAUGGCCCCUGCGCAAGGACGACACGCAAAUUCGUGAAGCGUUCCUUGUUUCA